rnacentral:tRNA from 1 species
GCCCAGGUGGUGAAAUUGGUAGACACGCCAGCUUCAGGUGCUGGUGACCGUAAGGUCGUGGAAGUUCGAGUCUUCUCCUGGGCACCA